rnacentral:lncRNA from 1 species
AAGAAACAUAAGUGGAGCACAUGUUAGUAAUAAAUUAAAUACCCAUGAUAAGCGCGUAUCUUCACGCGCCUUCUGUCUUGUAUUUCUUGAACAAGUUGUUGCCGCGGCGGAAGCGCAACCUCAGUCGCUCCUCAAUGGCCGUGUCCUCCGUUCGAAUUGCCAUCGUCGGUGAUAUACAUGAUUGCUGGAACCUAGAAGAAGAUUCAAGGGCACUUGAGUUCUUGAAGCCAGAUUUGGUGCUGUUUACAGGCAAGUUUCGUUGUUACUGUUGAUCAACCUAUCACAUUAUGGUGUUGUGUUAAAUGUGUUUGCGUAUGUUCGCUUCUUCAUGGAAAAUUCUAAUUGGUGUGGAAGGAGCCGGUGAUUUUGGUGAUGAAAAUGUUGAAGUUGUUCAGAGUGUUGCAAAUCUUGAAUUUGCUAAAGCAGUUAUAUUAGGAAACCAUGAUUCCUGGUUUACUAAACAGUUUUCUGGAAGGUAAAGUGUACAUGUUUGUCCUGGAACCAUUCUGCAUCUAUGGCUUAGUAAAUUUACUUCGCAGAAAGGUUGUGUUGUCAGAUUCUUCUAUGACACAAUACAAUUUUUUUUGGGAUGGGAUACAAAGACAAUGAAUUUACUCAUCCAUUAUGGGAGUAUAAAUUGUUCUUGUCAUAUGUUAGUUACAUAAUUUGCUUGAAGUUUCCUUUCUGGCUAAUAGGUUUAAAGUUGUAUGUGCUGACUUUUAGUUCAAGUUUAAACUAACACUUUGAUUUAAAUGUCAGCGAGAAGGAUAAAGUUCAGCUACAGCUAGAAUGGUAAGCUUACUAUCCAUAAGGAUUCUAUUGGUUCUGGGUUUUUUUCCUCUGACCUAUUAAUGUCACUUUGAGCAUGUUCGACAUUAUUGAUGAAAACAUAUUUGUUGUUGCCAUCUGUGGCUAGUAAUAAGUUCAUUAGGUUAUCAAAAGAGGAAUUGUUGUAAUAAUACGACAUGCCCCUUUUCCUAGCCCAUUAAAGGUUUAAAAGAGAUUUUAAAAUAUCACGGAUGUUUUUUUGCUGGUCAGCGCCAGAGUAGAAGUAACCAAUUACCGAUGAGUAAAUUUUUUCUAACUACUUUUAUUUCCACCAUACAUGUCUAAUUUCCUUCGCAAUUUACUUUUAAUACUUUUAUUCUUAUAUAGAACUCCUUAGAAAAGUUAUUGAUAAAUUACUGUAAACUCAGCCUUGGCAAGGAGCAUGUGGCUUAUAAACGUUUAGACUUCCCUAUGAUAAAAGUGAGUGUUGUUGGGGGACGGCCAUUUUCUAGUGGGGGUAAACCUCUAUCCCGGAAAAGGCUUCUAUCUGCGAGAUAUGGAAUCAAAGGCAUGGAUGAGAGUGCUAAGAGAAUCCAGAAAGCUGCUCUUGGCACACCAGAGGGUCAUUUUCUUAUAUUACUUGCACAUAAUGGACCUACAGGCCUUGGUUCUGAUUUGAGUGAUAUAUGUGGAAAAGAUUGGGAAUCUGCGGCUGGUGGUGAUCACGGUGACCCAGGUACUAUUACUUCAGAGCUUUGCUUGUGAUUAUAUUCCCCUUUGUGUUUUGGUUGUCAUAAAUCACUUUAGCUAUCAAGGCUUGAUUUCUUUUUCUGUUAUUAAGCUUGGAUUAUGGUAUUGAUUAUGUUGUCCCUUUUUAGUAUUGGUUGAACUGUACCUUAAAAUGCUAAGUGUCAUUGAGAUAAUGCAAACAUAGGGAACACCUUACCCUUUGAACCGAGUCUAUUAUGUUUUUGUAACAGAUCUAGAACACGCAAUAUCCUUGCUGAAGGAAAACAAUCAAGUAUCCAUUCCAUUGGUUGUGUUUGGUCACAUGCACAAAGAGCUGGCAUUUGGCAAUGGCUUUAGGAAAAUGAUUGUGGUUGGCGCUGACAACACUAUAUACUUGAACGGGGCCAUCGUUCCAAGAGUCAAACGGUUGGUCGAUGAAGACAAUAGAAACUUAGAUGCUAAAAGUGCUCUAUCCUCACCAGAAACUAAAAGUACAUCAAGAGCCUUUACUUUAGUUGAGAUUUCAGAAGGAAGAGUUGCUAAGAUUGCAGAAAGUUGGGUCUCAGUUGCGGAAGAUAGGACCACCUUAGAAAAAGAGCACAUAUUGUUUGAAGGCGGUUUGUAUCCUCAACCUCCACCUUAGGCUCCUGCUUCAGUCUUAUGUUGUGAUAUAAAAGUAUAACAUGUUUACAUUAAAAUUUUCUCGGAAUUUUAUGUUCCAAAUCAUGAUGGGUCUGCAGUGUUACGUUUCUUUCACUUUUAUGUUUCACAGUGUUCCCAUCUAUCAUUAUUAUGGAGUUAAGUACUUCAUACACGACAUCUAUAUGUACUCUUUUUGAUGACUUAAUACAAUGUCUAGUGCUA